UCUGUCCUUCCAUUAUACCGAUGCAUAACGGGUGAAGAAUCCUAACAGGCGAAUCUUUGUUAACUUUUGAUCUUAAUUUUUGAAAUUGAACCCUCCAGGGAAAAACCAAAACUAUAGUUUUUAAUUGACUAUCCCUACAAAGUUUCUGAUCCAGUGCCAAUGGAGCAUCAAUUCAACCCCUUCAACAUCUUGAAAAAUCUCGAAUUUGCAUCCUGGGUGUCAUGCAGACCACAACUUCAAGAGUUUACUAGCCUCGCAUCAAUCACACAUUCUUCGAUGAUCUAACAUAAGGUAGAAAGCCAUCGAGAAUACUUUAUCGGGUUGCUCCGACUAGCAAUCCACAAUAUUUCAAAUUGCAACAUGGAUCAAAGGUGUGUUCUAAAACUGAAAGUAAGGUCCUUUAGAUGAGGAAGCGUACGGGUCUGGAUAAAGUAUACAGGUACCAAUCCGGACCUGUCAAGGUUGUGUUGCGGCUUUCAAAUUGUUGCUGCACGGAUUCAGAACCUACAAAUCAGUAGACAAAUGGUGGAAUGGAGACAUGAAGUGCGUCCAGUCUCCUAAAUGCGUGUUUCAAGUAAAAACAAUGACAACAAUGACGAUAUGAAUUUCUUCACAUGGUUAUUGUUUGUAGAUUUGAUUUGGAUAUUCGAAUUGGGUAUUAUCUGUUGCUUUUGGGGUUUUCUGAUUGUCUUUAUGUGUGCACACCUGCCAGCUACUGAAUAAUGAUGGCCACUCUUGGUACUUGCUCUGUUAUAGUCCCUUGGCACAAGUUCAAAUUCAUAAACUUAAAAGAUUUUUGCUCUAGAAUCACCAGCACAUGUUUAAUAGGUCUGAUAUCUCCAAAUCUCUCAAGUACAGAUGUUGCAUAGAGUAAUUAGGCAGUUUUUUUCUUUUUUGAAUGAAACUCAUUUAAACAGACAAAAGAUGGGUGUGACGUACGUGCUAAAAAUAUCAAAUUGAUGUUAGUCCAUGUUCUUUAUUCUUAAACGAGAAGAACUUAGAUAUGUUAUAUUUUUUUAUUUUUUAUUUUUUUGCUUGCUAGAAAUUGUAUUUCAAAAUGUUAUGAUUAUAAAAAACUCGAUUCAAGUUAAUAUUUGAUUUCUGAUGUGUUCAUUUUUCAGGCAUAUCAUUUUAGUACAUUGAUCCGUUACACAUCAGAGAACUGAUUCUACUAACAAAGCCAGUGGAACUCACUACAAAGUCCACCCCGGAAUCUAACAAGUACUUAGGAUGCAAGACCACUCCACCAUACAUAGUGGUCAGUGGCCAUGAAAAAAGGAAAAACGCUUACUGAGAUUUUGGAUACUGAGAAAAAGAAACUAUUACCCAGCUCAUCCAUAUGAAAUGGGACCUCUCCUACCCCGUGAGUUUAGCAGUCAAGUCCAUGUAGGUGAAACCAUUUUCCCCCGUCAAACCACCCACUUAAUUUUAUUUUCUCUAUUAAUGUACAACACAUGCAUACAAGCAGCAAUGACUACAUGAAAAGAGCCAGCACUACGAAAAUAUUAAUGGAUAUAAUAGUUGGUACCAUCUUGCUUGCCGUUGAUGUAACAAGGAAGUUCUUGGUGAGGAUGGUGACCUCUGUUGCACUAAAUGUAAGAGUAAAGGGGACCUUUCUGUCGCUAGGUUAACAAAUUCAAUAUAUAUUAGAGUAUCUUAGUUUGUCGAUAAGUAUCCACCCGUAUUUAGUUAAUAUGAUCAUGUCAUCUUAGUUUGUUGAUAAGUAUCCACCCGUAUUUAGUUAAUAUGAUCAUGUCAUGUUUGCAACACAGGUUUCUGUCUAUGCUUUGUUCCAUCGUUUUUGUAUCUCAGCACAGUGAGGUUCGGAAGAUGUUUCUCCCAGCUCAUCCAAGCUCUUGAGCGGGUCUGAGGUAAAUAAAAAUUGUGCACGAACCCGUGAAUUUCCAAAUUACCAUGAACUCCUUCAACAUGAAGCAGAAUAUCCGCCCCAGCGCGUCAAAACUCUUGAGCGGGUUUCAGUUAACCUAGAACACUAGGCUAUAUUAUUUCAAGCAAACAGACUGUCUGAAGUGUUAGGACGCUCAAAUUAUUCGGGAAUUAGCAAAGGAUGCAGUCGUAUCUGGCAUGUUGCCCACUCUGCACCAACCUGUGUAUUUCCUAAUUAAUCUGAACUUCUUCAACGUGAAGUGGAAUUUUGCGACCUGCUCAA